GAUGAACGCUGGCGGCGUGCCUAAUACAUGCAAGUCGAACGAAACUUCUUUAUCACCGAGUGCUUGCACUCACCGAUAAAGAGUUGAGUGGCGAACGGGUGAGUAACACGUGGGCAACCUGCCCAAAAGAGGGGGAUUACACUUGGAAACAGGUGCUAAUACCGCAUAACCAUAGUUACCGCAUGGUAACUAUGUAAAAGGUGGCUAUACUACCGCUUUUGGAUGGGCCCGCGGCGCAUUAGCUAGUUGGUAGGGUAAAGGCUUACCAAGGCAAUGAUGCGUAGCCGAAUUGAGAGGUUGAUCGGCCACAUUGGGACUGAGACACGGCCCAAACUCCUACGGGAGGCAGCAGUAGGGAAUCUUCCACAAUGGGCGAAAGCCUGAUGGAGCAACGCCGCGUGGGUGAAGAAGGUCUUCGGAUCGUAAAACCCUGUUGUUAGAGAAGAAAGUGCGUGAGAGUAACUGUUCACGUUUCGACGGUAUCUAACCAGAAAGCCACGGCUAACUACGUG
rnacentral:rRNA from 1 species